UGGAUCCAGACUUUGAUCAUGGCUCAGGAUGAACGCUAGCUACAGGCUUAACACAUGCAAGUCGAGGGGCAGCGGGAUUGAAGCUUGCUUCAAUUGCCGGCGACCAGCGCACGGGUGAGUAACGCGUAUCCAACCUUCCGUACACUCAGGGAUAGCCUUUCGAAAGAAAGAUUAAUACCUGAUAGUAUCUUAAGCACACAUGUAAUUAAGAUUAAAGAUUUAUCGGUGUACGAUGGGGAUGCGCUCCAUUAGGUAGUAGGCGGGGUAACGGCCCACCUAGCCGACGAUGGAUAGGGGUUCUGAGAGGAAGGUCCCCCACAUUGGAACUGAGACACGGUCCAAACUCCUACGGGAGGCAGCAGUGAGGAAUAUUGGUCAAUGGACGAGAGUCUGAACCAGCCAAGUAGCGUGAAGGAUGAAGGUCCUACGGAUUGUAAACUUCUUUUAUAAGGGAAUAAACCCUCCCACGUGUGGGAGCUUGUAUGUACCUUAUGAAUAAGCAUCGGCUAACUCCGUGCCAGCAGCCGCGGUAAUACGGAGGAUGCGAGCGUUAUCCGGAUUUAUUGGGUUUAAAGGGAGCGCAGACGGGUCGUUAAGUCAGCUGUGAAAGUUUGGGGCUCAACCUUAAAAUUGCAGUUGAUACUGGCGUCCUUGAGUGCGGUUGAGGUGUGCGGAAUUCGUGGUGUAGCGGUGAAAUGCUUAGAUAUCACGAAGAACUCCGAUUGCGAAGGCAGCACACUAAGCCGUAACUGACGUUCAUGCUCGAAAGUGUGGGUAUCAAACAGGAUUAGAUACCCUGGUAGUCCACACGGUAAACGAUGGAUACUCGCUGUUGGCGAUAUACUGUCAGCGGCUUAGCGAAAGCGUUAAGUAUCCCACCUGGGGAGUACGCCGGCAACGGUGCAACUCAAAGGAAUUGACGGA
rnacentral:rRNA from 1 species